CAAGGCAGGUGGAUCACCUGAGGUCAGGAGUUCAAGACCAGCCUGGCCAACAUGGUGAAACCUUGUCUCUACUAAAAAUACAAAAAUAAGCUAGGCAUGGAGUCACACGCCAGUAAUCCCAGCUAUUCAGGAGGCUGAGGCGGGAAGAUCACGUGAACCAGGGAGGCAGAGGUUGCAGUGAGCCAGGGCCAGUGCACUCCAGCUUGGGGAACAAACUGACACUCCAACUCAAGAAAAACAAGAAACACACAAAAAGUAGAGGGAGGAGUUCACAGAGAAAAAGAAGAGGGGCUUUCACCAUGUUGGCCAAGAUAGUCUCCAUCUCUUGACUUCAUGAUCCACCUGUAAGGCCGGUUGCCUCGAGGGAGGCCGGACACACCCACCUCUGCACUCAGCACCUGACUCUGCAGCCAGCACCAGGCUCUGCACUCAGCACCUGACUCUGCAGCCAGCACCAGGCUCUGCACUCAGCACCUGACUCUGCAGCCAGCACCAGGCUCUGCACUCAGCACCUGACUCUGCAGCCAGCACCAGGCUCUGCACUCAGCACCUGACUCUGCAGCCAGCACCAGGCUCUGCACUCAGCACCUGACUCUGCAGCCAGCACCAGGCUCAGCACUCAGCACCUGACUCUGCAGCCAGCACCAGGCUCUGCACUCAGCACCUAGCUCUGUCGCACGGCUCCCUUGGAAGACUCCUGCUAAUGCAAUCCUGGUCAGCUCUUGCACCGGAAAACCCGCCCAACAACUCGCCAACCAAUAGCGGCCCGCCCUGUCCCAAUCCCGCUCCCCUGGAGCCAAUCAGAGCUCCCAUAGCCAAAGGCACCCCGCCCCAGGAAGUCAGCGCGACUUCUCUGGCCCCCUUUCCCGGGACCAUAGAACCUCUCCCGGGAGCUGAAUAAAUUUGCAUUUAAUAUUCUUA